AUUGAACGCUGGCGGCAUGCCUUACACAUGCAAGUCGAACGGCAGCACGGGUGCUUGCCCCUGGUGGCGAGUGGCGAACGGGUGAGUAAUACAUCGGAACAUGUCCUGUAGUGGGGGAUAGCCCGGCGAAAGCCGGAUUAAUACCGCAUACGAUCUACGGAUGAAAGCGGGGGACCUUCGGGCCUCGCGCUAUAGGGUUGGCCGAUGGCUGAUUAGCUAGUUGGUGGGGUAAAGGCCUACCAAGGCGACGAACAGUAGCUGGUCUGAGAGGACGACCAGCCACACUGGGACUGAGACACGGCCCAGACUCCUACGGGAGGCAGCAGUGGGGAAUUUUGGACAAUGGGCGAAAGCCUGAUCCAGCAAUGCCGCGUGUGUGAAGAAGGCCUUCGGGUUGUAAAGCACUUUUGUCCGGAAAGAAAUCCUUGGCCCUAAUACGGUCGGGGGAUGACGGUACCGGAAGAAUAAGCACCGGCUAACUACGUG
rnacentral:rRNA from 1 species